UAGCUCAAGUUUCUCUUUAUUAUGUAUAAACCUUUCGCCUUUUACUAAAGAUUUCCAUGGAGGUGAGCCUUUGUGAGUUUUCUGUAUUUUUGGGGGCUCUGCUGCAAGUAGGAUG